UAGCUCAGUUGGUAGAGCGCUCCGGUGGAAAUGGAGAGGUGCCGGGUUCGAUACCCGG
rnacentral:tRNA from 1 species